rnacentral:tRNA from 1 species
AAACUUAGGUUAAUUUACCAAACCGGGGGCCUUCAAAGCCCCAAACAUGAGCUCAUAUCCUCCU